CCUACGGGAGGCAGCAGUGGGGGAUAUUGCACAAUGGGGGGAACCCUGAUGCAGCGACGCCGCGUGGGUGAAGAAGCGCCUCGGCGCGUACAGCCCUGUCAGCAGGGAAGAAAAUGACGGUACCUGCCGAAGACGCCAAGGCUAACUACGUUCCAGCAGCCGCGGUAAUACGUAGGGGGCAAGCGUUAUCCGGAUUUACUGGGUGUAAAGGGGGCGCAGACGGCGAUGCAAGCCAGGAGUGAAAGCCCGGGGCCCAACCCCGGGACUGCGCGUGGAACUGCGUGGCUGGAGUGCAGGAGGGGCAGGCGGAAUUCCUGGUGUAGCGGUGAAAUGCGGAGAUAUCAGGAGGAACACCGGUGGCGAAGGCGGCCUGCUGGACUGCAACUGACGUUGAGACCCGAAAGCGUGGGGAGCAAACAGGAUUAGAUACCCCUGUAGUC
rnacentral:rRNA from 1 species